AGAGUUUGAUCCUGGCUCAGGACGAACGCUGGCGGCGUGCUUAACACAUGCAAGUCGGACGGUAAGGCCCCUUUCGGGGGGUACACGAGUGGCGAACGGGUGAGUAACACGUGAGGAACGUGCCCUUGACUUCGGUAUAGCUCCAGGAAACUGGUGGUAAUCCCGAAUAUGAGCCUGGCCUGCAUGGGUUGGGUUGGAAAGCUUUAUGCGGUCAGGGAUCGUCUCGCGGCCUAUCAGCUUGUUGGUGGGGUAAUGGCCUACCAAGGCAGCGACGGGUAGCCGGCCUGAGAGGGUGACCGGCCACAUUGGGACUGAGAUACGGCCCAGACUCCUACGGGAGGCAGCAGUGGGGAAUAUUGCACAAUGGGCGCAAGCCUGAUGCAGCAACGCCGCGUGCGGGAUGACGGCCUUCGGGUUGUAAACCGCUUUCAUCCAUGACGAAGCGCAAGUGACGGUAGUGGGAGAAGAAGCUCCGGCUAAAUACGUGCCAGCAGCCGCGGUAAUACGUAUGGUGCAAGCGUUAUCCGGAUUUACUGGGUGUAAAGGGUGCGUAGGUGGUAUGGCAAGUCAGAAGUGAAAGCCCGGGGCUCAACCCCGGUACUGCAUUGGAAACUGUCGUACUAGAGUGUCGGAGGGGUAAGUGGAAUUCCUAGUGUAGCGGUGAAAUGCGUAGAUAUUAGGAGGAACACCAGUGGCGAAGGCGGCUUACUGGACAGUAACUGACGUUGAGGCUCGAAAGCGUGGGGAGCAAACAGGAUUAGAUACCCUGGUAGUCCACGCGGUAAACGAUGAAUGUUAGGUGUGGGGGAGCAAAGUUCUUCGGUGCCGCCGCAAACGCAUUAAGCAUUCCACCUGGGGAGUACGUUCGCAAGAAUGAAACUCAAAGGAAUUGACGGGACCCCGCACAAGCAGUGGAGUAUGUGGUUUAAUUCGACGCAACGCGAAGAACCUUACCAAGUCUUGACAUCCUGCGACGCACAUAGAAAUAUGUGUUUCCUUCGGGACGCAGAGACAGGUGGUGCAUGGUUGUCGUCAGCUCGUGUCGUGAGAUGUUGGGUUAAGUCCCGCAACGAGCGCAACCCUUAUGGUCAGUUACUACGCAAGAGGACUCUGGCCAGACUGCCGUUGACAAAACGGAGGAAGGUGGGGAUGACGUCAAAUCAUCAUGCCCUUUAUGACUUGGGCUACACACGUACUACAAUGGCGUUAAACAAAGAGAAGCAAGACCGCGAGGUGGAGCAAAACUCAGAAACAACGUCCCAGUUCGGACUGCAGGCUGCAACUCGCCUGCACGAAGUCGGAAUUGCUAGUAAUCGCAGAUCAGCAUGCUGCGGUGAAUACGUUCCCGGGCCUUGUACUCACCGCCCGUCA
rnacentral:rRNA from 1 species